rnacentral:tRNA from 1 species
GUCAGGAUGGCCGAGCGGUCUAAGGCGCCAGACUCAAGGUUUACUCCUUAUCUCUUAACAGAGAUGUUCUAUGGGUGUUCUGGUCUCUGUAUGGAGGCGUGGGUUCGAAUCCCACUUCUGACA